CCCAGCACCUCACCCAACCCAGCCCUGAUGGAGGGGAGGGAGGAGAGAGAGAGGGGUGCUCCUGGGGAGGAGGGAGAAAGGAGGGGGUGCUCCGUGGGGUGGGGGGAGAAGAAUGGAUGUUAUGGGAGACAACAAAGGAUACUGGUUCCAGAGCCACAGAGCCUGCCUCACCUGACCUAAGCCAGGGGGAAAGAGUCACACUCACAGGACCCAGCAGCCCUGCUUCUACACUGUCUGGGCUCCCUGCAGAGUGGUGCCCCCAGGCAGAGUGAGGCCCUAUGCGGCUGCCUAUUCUGCCUAUGCCUAAGGACGGCCCUGGCCACAUCUACCCAUAACUGAAGCGGUAAGGUCUGUGCUGUGGCUCUGAAGAUUGUGGGUUCAAACACUGAUGAUGAUUCCUGCGUGUGUUAAAAAAAGCAAAUAGAGAUAGAGAUAAAAGUACCAAAGGGUACGGGACUGAAGACUCAUGUUAGAAAAUGUUAAGCUACUGGCAGGCACUCCUGACAUUGAGGAGACUCUCACAGAAGCACAUUCUGCUCUCUAUUUUCUCAUGUUAUAAAACAUACUUUAACUUCUAAACAGAAGAUUUAAAGCAUGCUUGCAAAUAGAACAUUUGGCACUGUUUUUGCAAGUGUAUGGUCC